rnacentral:rRNA from 1 species
GGGACACGUGGUAUCCUGUCUGAAUAUGGGGGGACCAUCCUCCAAGGCUAAAUACUCCUGACUGACCGAUAGUGAACCAGUACCGUGAGGGAAAGGCGAAAAGAACCCCGGCGAGGGGAGUGAAAAAGAACCUGAAACCGUGUACGUACAAGCAGUGGGAGCACGCUUAGGCGUGUGACUGCGUACCUUUUGUAUAAUGGGUCAGCGACUUAUAUUCUGUAGCAAGGUUAACCGAAUAGGGGAGCCGAAGGGAAACCGAGUCUUAACUGGGCGUUAAGUUGCAGGGUAUAGACCCGAAACCCGGUGAUCUAGCCAUGGGCAGGUUGAAGGUUGGGUAACACUAACUGGAGGACCGAACCGACUAAUGUUGAAAAAUUAGCGGAUGACUUGUGGCUGGGGGUGAAAGGCCAAUCAAACCGGGAGAUAGCUGGUUCUCCCCGAAAGCUAUUUAGGUAGCGCCUCGUGAAUUCAUCUCCGGGGGUAGA